GACGAACGCUGGCGGCGUGCCUAAUACAUGCAAGUAGAACGCUGAAGCGAGGAGCUUGCUCUUCUUGGAUGAGUUGCGAACGGGUGAGUAACGCGUAGGUAACCUGCCUUGUAUCGGGGGAUAACUAUUGGAAACGAUAGCUAAUACCGCAUAACAAUGGAUGACACAUGUCUUUUAUUUUAAAUGGGCAAUUUCUCCACUACAAGAUGGACCUGCGUUGUAUUAGCUAGUAGGUGAGGUAAUGGCUCACCUAGGCGACGAUACAUAGCCGACCUGAGAGGGUGAUCGGCAAAACUGGGAAGGAGACACGGCCAAGAAUCCUACGGGAGGCAGCAGUAGGGAAUCGUCGGAAAUGGGGGCAACCCUGACCGAGCAACGCCGCGUGAGUGAAGAAGGUUUUCGGAUCGUAAAGCUCUGUUGUAAGUCAAGAACGGGUGUGAGAGUGGAAAGUUCACACUGUGACGGUAGCUUACCAGAAAGGGACGGCUAACUACGUG
rnacentral:rRNA from 1 species